rnacentral:lncRNA from 1 species
UGCUCUGGAGCUCAGAGGGACCUCCCAAACUCAGCAGAGCCCUGGAUCUGAGCGCCCGGACUGGAUGUAGCUGAUCUUCCAGAGCCCUGAGAGAGCCCGGGGGAAUGGCAGCCGGGCUGUAGAGGGUCGUACCCGCCCUGCAGGAGUGUGUGUGUGCCCGGGGAGGUGUGUGUGUGUGCCCGGGGAGGUGUGUGUGUGAUGAAAGCUGGCAUGAGGAGCUCAGAGAGGAACACUUGAGCAGCUCCAGAGGAACUCCAGUCUGUGUUCUGUGUCUGAAGUGAGGGAUGGACCUGCUGCUGGUUCUGGUUCUGGUGCUGCUGGGGCUGUGUGGCAGUGCCAGGAGUGCGUGGCACAACCAGCGCAAUGGGCUGGCACACACACAGGUUGGCACGGCGCCCCGGGCGGCCAGCAGACACAGCUCUCACGCUUUCCUCACGCCAGCCUCACGUCACCCAACACAUCUGCCACCAGCUGCUGGAGCUGCCACACAGCACAAACACCACAUUCUGCUGGCAGCCGGCACUCCCAGCUGGAGGAACAGGAAAUCUCCCAUAGGUCAGCGGUGCUAACAGGAAGCAGGGCUACAAGCAGAUCUUUGGAGAUUCUCCUACAAGACUGUCACGUAGACCCAGGCAGGAAGACGAGGAGGCGGACACAAGUGCAGGUAGGGUGAAAAUAAAUAAUAAUUUAAUACAUAAAUAACA